rnacentral:lncRNA from 1 species
UUAGGGUUUUGUGAUUAGAGUUUAGGGUUUAGUAUUUAGAAGGGGAGAGGAUAUGGUUGGGGUUAACAUUAGAUUCUUCCAUGCAAUCAUAUACAUUUAAUAAUUUCAACAAUAUGCACUAUGUUAUUUAUUUUGUUUCAUUAUAUUUGGGUUUAGAGUAUAUAUUUUGGUUUAGGGUUUAUAUUUGAUUAAGAGUUUAGUGAUUAGAGGUUAGGGUUUAGUAUUUAGAAUGUGAGAGGUUUGGUUGGGGUCAUCAUUAACUUCUUCAAUGCAAUCAUAGAUAUUUCAUAAUUUCACCAAUAUGUACUAUGUUAUUUAUUUUGUUCCAUUCUAUUUAGAUUUUGGGUUUAUAGUUUAUAUUUGAGUUUAUGGUUUAGUGAUUAAGGUUUAGGGGUUUAGUAUUUUAGGAUUGGGGUAAUGUUUAGUAUUCAGAGGUUGUGAAUGUAGUUAUAAUUUAUAUUUGGAUUUAGGUUUAGUGAUUGGGAUUUAAAGUUUAGUAUUUAGGUGUUGGGAUAAUCUUUAGUAUUUAGGAGUUGUAUAGUGAUUGAGAUUUAGGGUUUUACUAUAGAGGUUAUGAUAAUGUUUAGAAUUUAGGUCUGUGAGUGGAAUUAUUAUCCUAUACUAUUUUGGCGAUAUGGAAUAAAAUAUUUGGUGUAUAUGUAUGUGGUCAAUAAAUGUGUUACGUGAAUGUGAUUGUAAAUACGCCACAGGAAAAGCGACGUCGCCUAUUUUUUCACUUGCAACUGGAUACCUGUUAAACAAAAGGACAUAACCGGAUGAUUUGAGGUAUAAAUGUCUGACACUAAAAUAUGUCAAAAUCAUUGCCAUACACCUAAUUUAUUUUUUUAAUAUGGCUAU